rnacentral:rRNA from 1 species
AGAGUUUGAUCCUGGCUCAGGAUGAACGCUAGCGGCAGGCCUAAUACAUGCAAGUCGAACGAUACCAAUGGGCUUGCUCAUUGGGAAAGUGGCGCACGGGUGCGUAACGCGUAUGCAACCUACCUUAAUCAGGGGGAUAGCCCGAAGAAAUUCGGAUUAACACCGCAUAAAAACACAGUACAGCAUUGUACAAUGUUCAAAUAUUUAUAGGAUUAAGAUGGGCAUGCGUGUCAUUAGCUAGUUGGCGGGGUAACGGCCCACCAAGGCGACGAUGACUAGGGGAUCUGAGAGGAUGACCCCCCACACUGGUACUGAGACACGGACCAGACUCCUACGGGAGGCAGCAGUAAGGAAUAUUGGUCAAUGGAGGCAACUCUGAACCAGCCAUGCCGCGUGCAGGAAGACAGCCCUCUGGGUCGUAAACUGCUUUUAUUCGGGAAUAAACCACAUUACGUGUAAUGUGCUGAAUGUACCGAAGGAAUAAGGAUCGGCUAACUCCGUGCCAGCAGCCGCGGUAAUACGGAGGAUCCAAGCGUUAUCCGGAUUUAUUGGGUUUAAAGGGUGCGUAGGCGGCUUAUUAAGUCAGGGGUGAAAGACGGUGGCUCAACCAUCGCAGUGCCUUUGAUACUGAUGAGCUUGAAUACACUAGAGGUAGGCGGAAUGUGACAAGUAGCGGUGAAAUGCAUAGAUAUGUCACAGAACACCGAUUGCGAAGGCAGCUUACUAUGGUGUGAUUGACGCUGAGGCACGAAAGCGUGGGGAUCAAACAGGAUUAGAUACCCUGGUAGUCCACGCCCUAAACGAUGAAUACUCGCUGUUAGCGAUAUACAGUUAGCGGCUAAGCGAAAGCGUUAAGUAUUCCACCUGGGGAGUACGCCCGCAAGGGUGAAACUCAAAGGAAUUGACGGGGGCCCGCACAAGCGGAGGAGCAUGUGGUUUAAUUCGAUGAUACGCGAGGAACCUUACCCGGGCUUGAAAGUUAGUGAAUCAUUUAGAGAUAGAUGAGUCCGCAAGGACACGAAACUAGGUGCUGCAUGGCUGUCGUCAGCUCGUGCCGUGAGGUGUUGGGUUAAGUCCCGCAACGAGCGCAACCCCUAUGUUUAGUUGCCAGCACGUUAAGGUGGGGACUCUAAACAGACUGCCUGUGCAAACAGAGAGGAAGGAGGGGACGACGUCAAGUCAUCAUGGCCCUUACGUCCGGGGCUACACACGUGCUACAAUGGAUGGUACAGAGGGCAGCAAGCUGGCAACAGCAAGCGAAUCAC